rnacentral:rRNA from 1 species
UACGUAGGGGGCUAGCGUUGUCCGGAAUCAUUGGGCGUAAAGAGCGCGUAGGCGGCCAGAUGAAGUCCGGUGUGAAAGUCAAAGGCUCAACCUUUGAAUGCCGCUGGAAACUGUCUGGUGCUAGAGUCCGGGAGGGGCGAGUGGAAUUCCGUGGUGUAGCGGUGGAAUGACGCAGAUAUCAGGAGGAACACCAAUAGCGAAGGCAGCUCGCUGGGGACGGUACUGACGCUGAGGCGCGAAAGCGUGGGGGAGCGAACAGG